rnacentral:rRNA from 1 species
GAUGAACGCUGGCGGCGUGCUUAACACAUGCAAGUCGAACGGUGAAGGCGGAGCUUGCUCUGCUGGAUCAGUGGCGAACGGGUGAGUAACACGUGAGCAAUCUGCCCCUGACUCUGGGAUAAGCGCUGGAAACGGCGUCUAAUACUGGAUACGAGCUGCGAAGGCAUCUUCAGCAGCUGGAAAGAACUUCGGUCAGGGAUGAGCUCGCGGCCUAUCAGCUUGUUGGUGAGGUAAUGGCUCACCAAGGCGUCGACGGGUAGCCGGCCUGAGAGGGUGACCGGCCACACUGGGACUGAGACACGGCCCAGACUCCUACGGGAGGCAGCAGUGGGGAAUAUUGCACAAUGGGCGGAAGCCUGAUGCAGCAACGCCGCGUGAGGGACGACGGCCUUCGGGUUGUAAACCUCUUUUAGCAGGGAAGAAGCGAAAGUGACGGUACCUGCAGAAAAAGCGCCGGCUAACUACGUGCCAGCAGCCGCGGUAAU